rnacentral:lncRNA from 1 species
AGCUUUCCUCAUGACUACUCCAGGAGGAGCCACAGUUUCAUCACCAUGACACGCGACCCAUUUGCUGGCAUGAACUCACUGCAUCUGCACCAGGGGACACCCCCCCUCCAUGCAAUGGCGUGCCCUCUCCCCUCUCCAUCAUCCCACAAGACCCUGCUGUCCCUUUCCCUCAGGGACACACUGCUUGGGGAAUACGCCCAUGUCCUCCUUACUUGUGCCAAGUAAUAAAACUCCUGUUGAUCAACACCUGCCUUCUCAUGGAGAGUCAUUUGUUACUUGCCAGGUAAACUCCCGUUUCAUCAGGGAAUAGACUCAGGACCUGAGAGACCUGGAUUCAGAAUCCCAGCUUAGAGUCAUUGGACAAGUUACUUAGAAUCCUCUAUUGGCCGGGCAUGGUGGCUCACACCUAUAAUCCCAGCUCUUUGGGAGGCUGAGGUGGGAUUACUCAUCCCACCUCAGGAGGAUUGCUUGAAGCCAGGAGUUUAAGAUCAGCCUGGGCAACAUAGUAAGACCCUGUCUCUACAAAAUAAAAAAUAAUAAUAAAAGGCUGAGUACAUUGGCUCACACCUGUAAUCCCAGCACUUUGGGAGACUGAGGUGGGCCGACUACCUGAGGUCAGGAGCUCGAGACCAGCCUGGCCAACAUGCUGAAACCCCGUGUCUACUGAAAAUACAAAAAAUUAGCCGAGCAUGGUGAUGUGUGCCUGUAAUCCCAGGUACUCAGGAGGCUGAAGCAGGAGAAUCACUUGAACCCAGGAGGCGGAGGCCGCAGUGAGCCAAGACUGCACCACUGCACUCCAGCCUGGGUGACAGAGUAAGACUCCAUCUCAAAAACAACAACAACGAUGAUAAUAAUUAAUACAGAAUCCUCUAAUCUCAGUUUUCUCAUCUGUUUAAAGAAAUAAAACCACUUCUUCCUCAGGGGGCUAUGGUGAUCCUAGACAGAAAGGGCCCAGCCCAGCUAUGUGUACCUGGAGUUUCCACGACAGUCCUGUCCAUUAUUAAUGCAAUUUCCAUUUCUGUUGUAAAGACUGCUUCCACCACACCUGCCUAAUGACAAAGCCUCACCUUCAAAGCUGGGGCAUAAGGAUGUCUGUGGCUGCUAGAUCUGGAGUAGGGGCUCUCAGCCCCCUACUCUCAUUUGAACAAGGCAGCAACCAUGCUCACGGGAUGCCAAGGAGAGAGACAAGUGAGGCUGGUGGCAGCUGGCCGAGAGGGUCCCCGUCCUACCUGGCCAGGCCAAGAAAGCUGUUGAUGCAUCCCAAGACCUAGCAAGACUUACUUUCUCAGUCACCUUGAAAGGAAGGACAAGCCUCCAAGUCGGCUCCUUGGGAGUGGAGAGAAGAAGUUUCCUCCACUCCACUGCUGAGAGUUACAAAAGGAGCCAUUAGCACUUGCCAAGCAAGGCCACCUUCCAUCUGAGGGAGAAAGUGCAAAAGACAGUUUAAAAGCCUCAUUAACACAAGGCAACAAGUCACAGGUGAAAAUUGAGCCUCUGAGGCCCUGCUGAUUGCACGGGGGGGAAGGCAUUUGCAUCUCUUCUCACCACAGAGGGGUGGCAGCCAAUUACCUCCAGGAUUAGAAAAAAGUUGCAAACCUGAGUCUAUCUUCACUGACGGGCUUGAAUUCCCUGCCAUGUGCCCCUCGCUAAAGCCUCCGCUUUGUGUAUGAGAAAAAAAGCCUCUAAGACCUGUGGGAAAACAUAAAAUCUGGAAGCAAGUUCACCCGUGGCUGACCAGAAGCAGAAAUGUUGCUUCCUUUGUGCAAGCCCUUCCUGGCUGGGCCAGAACAUCAGCUAAUGCAGCCUGGCACGUGGUCUGGCAGGAUAGGCCCUGCCAAUUAGAAAUUCAAACACAAUCAGUGUAAUGCCUAUGCUUUUGCUCCCUACAGGCCGUGCAGGAAACAGAAGCCCUGCGUGUCUGUGUCCCCUAAAUAAAUGACUCUGGUUCAUUCACUGCCUCCUACCCACUCCCUUGCCAGCUGUUAUGUGUGGGUUGUGGAGAAACCCCGCAGUGCCCUGCAGGGGCUUCUUCCUGCCCUUGGGGUCUAUGGGAAUGCUGGUUGCCUACAUAGUGCACACUCAAAUGUCUUCAGCGCCCAAGGCUGUCACUUUCUCAGCUCCCUGCCUACUCAGGUCUACGAAGUCAACUGCAAGGUUGUGGUCCAUUCUUUCCACACCAACCCUGGCCACGGGACCUUAGCCCUUUCAGAACUCAGGGUGCUGAAAUGUCUGAGAAGUUUCCCCAAGGAACGUCACCGAGCUGUCCCCUCCCCAACAACCUAGGGCAGCACAGGUCUCCAUCCAUUGCCCCUGAAGCCCCCAAUGUCUCUUUCUCCCUCCCACCCUCAGGGAGGCUCACUGACCCCCGCUUAAUUAUGCCGUGUCCUCCGUUGAAGACCUCCUCAAUGGGGAAGUGAGUACUGGCAGGGGAAGACCACAGUGGGGAAUUUUAGGUGUGAAGUGUUCUAUGAAUACAUCUUCAUCUGGGCGGCGGCCACACAGACACAGGUGGGCAUAAACAUGAGGUACAAUGGCUGGACACUCAGUAUUCAUGCACAGACAUGUGUUACUGUGUGUGUGUGAUACUUCAGUUUUAAAAUUAUGACACCCCACCCCAAAAAAAUUAAUUAUCUUAGACCAAGCAUGGCAAACAGCCAACAUACAGUCCCUCAGAGUGGCAAUUUCCUAAGUUCAACCAAGUAUUUUUGGCCGGGUCUGAACUAUGUGUGCUUUUAACAAAAAUUUGUUUCCAACCUUUAAAAUGGAAGAUUUUACAUAAAAAUUUUGAAUUUCUGGCUCCCACUAAAAGCCUAAGGGGCACUUGAUCUCCAGUUGUAGCCAUUUGGAUUUGCAAGCUCUUUUUCAGUCAUUAAAAUACAAAAUACAAAGACCCCAACCAGCUGCUGGAAAGGUAUUGGGGCUACUUUCCAGGACUGCACUGGACAGGGGUGGGAUGGGGAGGAGCUGGGCAUAGGGAAUGCUGUUGUAAAUGCAGUUAUUUUUUUAACCUUUUUUUCUGCUAUAUCAAGCAAAAACAUUAAAGUAAAAAAUACAUAUAAUGUGUAUACAUAUAUAUACAUGCAUACGUACCUAUCUAUCUAUACAUACAUAUUUUCCCCUUUCUUUCACUUAAAUCUUCACUCACUAGUUCCUGUUUGAUUAUUUUUUUCUCCCUCUCAUCCAUUGCUAUUAAUUUCUGGCAGCAAUUUAUAAAUGCCCCACUACUCUAAGAACCAUUGAAAUCACAGUUGGAAACCUCGAUAAUUUCACCAAGGCAGAAGCAAUUAAAUGCAAACAUUGGCAAAAAUUUUUAACGCUGCAGAAAAUCACGAAAAUGCCAAGACCUACGACUCGUUCCAGCACCGUGGGGGCUGACACCCAUCUCACUGCUGGAUAAAAGAGAAUGAGAUCCUCUCUCCAUCCUACGUUGGAUUUGCUUGCUCACACAAACUGACCCUUAGGGACAGAAUUGUUCAACUACAAUUAGAUUUAGUUAACUAAUCCUGGAAGCGAAGCUUAGCAUAUCAGACAGGGUUCUGGCAGGAGACUCACUGCCCUCAGAAAGUUCACCCUCACAGGCUGCAACGCAGUGACUGUCUACAGCGAUGGGGAUGUGGCAGGGGCUAAGGAAGCCAACAAGAGAUUGUCACCUUCUUAGAGGAGAAAGCCAAGAUGGGGAGAUAUUAACCCCUAUGCGUGAAAACAUGAGGGGAGGAAGGAAUGUUUAGCCCAGUGAGACUCAGAGGCACGAGUCAGCACCUAUUACAGACGUGGUGCAGAAACAUGGAGGACAUGGAGAAGAAAUAUCCUGACCUUGUUCCACUUUCACCCUCCAAUUCCCUGACAGUGGUUCCCAUUGACUGAGCCCAGCUCGCAGUCACAGGCAGGGAGCAGGGGUCAAUCUCCUGGUGCACAGGCAGGCUGAGGAGGGAAUGAAUGUAGGAAAGGGCUGGGGAGAGAAAAUAAGUAGCAUGCCUUACUUAAGAGCCUCAGGAUCUUUAUCUGUAAAAUUGGAUGAUAACAUCUACUUAAUAGUGCAGUUCCGAGAAUAAAAACUAAGAUAUCUAAGGCAUGCAGCACUAAAAAGUAUUGAAAAUUGUAAACUUACUCUCCUCAUCAUCAUGAGCUAUGCUUCCCUUAAACAAUGCUGUUCUGUUCCCAAUAUGAGGUAUCCCGCAGAUUAGAAUGGCUGCAUAAUUGCUUAUCCUCCAGGCCUCAUUCCCCACAAAAGGACGGCAUACUUUCUGGAGUAUAGCAUUCCUGAAAAGGGCCCCUCUAGACCAUGUUUGAUUAGUUUCAGUGAUGGUGGACUAACUGCAUCCCCAUCUCUUCUGCCACCAAAUCACUCAAAACUCAGAAAACUAUUUCUGUAUUAUCAGGACAAAGCACUCCCUAUGCAUAUUCUCCAAGGCUUCUGCACUCGGAGGUCACCAGGAAGAGAUCUGCUCUGCUCUCUCAUUCACUGGAGCCCUACAGAUCUGGGAAAGCUUUGGGUUUUUUUUUGUUUUGUUUUGUUUUGUUUUGUUUGUUUGUUCGAGAGGGAGUCUCGCUCUGUUGCCCAGGCUGGAGUGCAAUGGUGCAAUCUUGGGUGACUGCAACCUCCGCCUCCCAGGUUCAAGCGAUUUUCCUGCCUCAGCCUCCCAUGUAGCUGGGAUUACAGGCACCCACCACCACGCCCAACUAAUUUUUGUAUUUUUGGUAAAGACGGGGUUUCACCAUGUUGGCCAGGCUGGUCGCGAACUCCGGACCUCAGCUGAUCUGCCUGUCUUGGCCUCCCAAAGUGUUGGGAUUACAAGUGUGAGCCACCAGGCCCAUCCAGAAAGUUCUUAAGUUAGAUCUAUUCUUCACAAAAGAGAGGAAAGAUUGGGGUUGGGGGUGGGAACCCAGCUCUUUAUGCCAAUUAAUUAACGCACAUUGAAUGGACAGAUUUCUUUUUCUUUUUCUUUCUUUCUUUUUUUUUUUUGAGAUAGAGUCUUGCUCUGUCACCUGGGCUGGAGUGCAGUGGUGCAAUCCCGGCUCACUGCUGCCUCCACCUCCCGGGUUCAAGCGAUUGUCCUGCCUCAGCCUCCCAAGUAGCUGUGAUUACAGGCACCUGCCACCAUGCCCAGCUAAUUUUUGAAUUUUUUAGUAGAGAUGGGGUUUCACCAUGUUGGUCAGGCUGGACAGAUUUCUAAAAGACACAACUACCAAACUACUACCACUACUAAAGCCCAUUUUAGCAAGAAAUAGAUAACCUGAGAUUAAAUCCAUAGUUAAAAACCUUUCUACAAGAGAAAUACUGCAGGCCCUGAUAGCUCCACUGCUUCAAUGGUGAAUUCUACCUAAUUUUUGAGAAGAAAAGUGUAUCAAUUCUACAAAAUUAUUUCAGAAGAUAGAAGUGAAAGGAAUACUUUCUAACUAAUUUUAUGCGGCCAGAAUUUCCCUGAUACUAGAAGUAGAAAAGAAUAUGUCAGGAAAAUAAAACUACAGAUUAAUAUCUCUCAUAAGCAUGUAUACGAAUAUCAUUAGCAUGAUUUUAGAAACUGAAUCUAGCAAUAUAUUUUAAAAGACAAUAAAAUAUGACUGUGAUUUGUGAUAUAGUAAGAAUAUAUACGUAUGUAUAUACUUGGUAUAUUAGACACAGCAAAAGACAGCAUUGUUAAAUUAAGGCAAAAAUACAAAAAUAAUAAUCGAAACAGAGGCACAGAGAAAAAUAAUUGAAGGGAAAUAAAAGCCAAAUAAAGCAUCUGUAACUAGCCACAAAUAGCAAAUGAUAUAAAAUACUUGCAAGUAGAAUUCCAGAAGGAAAUAAAAGAUAGAAUGGGGAAGAAAGGGUGUUUGAAGAACUAAUGGCUAAAUUUUUGCAAAUCUAGCCACUUACCUCAACCAAGAGAUGCAAGCAGCUCAGCAAAACCCAAGAAAAGUAAAAGGGAAGAGAAUCACACCUAGGCUCAUCAUUUUUAAACUCCUUACAACCAAAUAUAUUCACACAAAAGUAGUCACAUUAGAUAUAUGGGGAAAAUGAUAAAAAUGGUGGCUCACUUAUCAGAAAUAAUGGAAGUCAGAAGAUGUCUUUAAAUUCUGAAGGAAAAAAUAAACUCUUUCAACCAAAAAUUCUAUGCUCAGCAAAAAUGUCCUUCAAAAAUAAACAAAAUAUGUAAUUACAGUUGCAUAACAGCUGAGAAAAUCCCUUGCCAAUAAACCUGAACUGUAAGAAAUGUAAAGGAAAUUCUUCAGGCUGAAGGGAAAUGAUACCCGAUGGAAACUGUUCUACAGGAAGGAAUGACUGUGCCAGAGAAGGUGAGGAAGUGCACCUUGCUGUGAGGAGAAAUCUGUGCUGUGCUCUGUGUGUGCAUCAUGGCUUAGCAGGACAGGGCAGCCACAGGCCUCCCUGCAGUGGACUUGGGACUUCUUCAAGGCCUGAGGACUGGCUCUCAGCUGGGUGCUGGGAUCUUCCUGGAGAAGCUCUUCAAGGUGUAAUGGCCUCCCCCAAAAGCAGAGUCCAGGUUCUGACAACUCUGGGUUUCUUUGGGAGAUGAAGGCAUGCGCAGAAAAUGUUGUCACCAUUACCUAGUUUUGAAGAACUUUAUGCUCUUUUUUUCAAAAAAAAAAAAAAAACAGCUAUAAAGAAUAAUAAUACAUAAUUUGCUUUCAACUUACCAAAUUAAUUUAAAGUGACGUGAUGGCCUAGCACCAUCCUCAAGAGAUACCAACCUUUACACAGAGCCAUCAUAAAUAGCAAAUAUAGAGGCUGUUAGUAAAAAAAACUCAAUGAGGCCAACUCUAUGGCUCACCGUGAAAUAAAUUUCACAGAAAUAGAACUUUAAAAAUAGAAAACUAAACAAGCAAAACUGGAUGAACUGAUUGCUGAUAUUCAAGAAGCCAAAGUCAUUGGACCCUAAAUCAUAAUCCAUCAAACAUCGAUGGUUUUUCCAAAUAGAUCAUGUCACAGAGUCUUUCCCACAUGGUCCUUCACCAGAGGAUACCAUUUGUCUUCAAGAAAAUACUUUUACACCUCUCUACUCAUAUUCUCACUUUUGCUCCCAGACUUUGUCCCCCAAACUCUUCCUAUAAUUCUACAUUUAUUUUGCUGGAGAAUUUCAUGGCCAAGGUCUCUAUGAUUUUCUGCACUUCCAGAAAGCAUUCAUGGACACCCCCCACCCCCACUUGACAAAGGCAUUUUUCUGGCCUGCCACAUCUUUCAUUGAUAACAAGGACAACAUCCUCCAAGAAUUUAUCACCAUUUUCUUUUCCCAUGUGCUAGACUUUGCCCCUCUCCCCUGCCAUCAUAAGAAUAAUACUGCAUUAUCUUCAGGGUUGAAUUUCAGUGUUCAAAUGACCUACUAGUGAACAUCUAGAAAAGUAGAAAAAACAAUUGACUUAAAAAAAUAUUUUGAAUUAUCUCUCAUUUUAAUUCAAGAAACUACUAUUACUUAAGUGAUUAUACUUUUGCCCAGAGGAAGCUUUAUAGAAUUAUUAUUCUUAGCAUAAAGGUUUGUAAGUAAAAUUAUUUAGAAUAUUUUUUGAGAGCAUGCUCUUAUUUCAGAUGCCAGGUUCAGCAUGCAGAGCUUGGAAUUCAUCACCCCAUCCUAACAAGCAAAAAGCUGAACCCACGGAAAAAUCCCUCUUCUCAGAUCUUUCGGAAAAGUGAGGUCACAGGGCAAACACUGCUCUCAAAAUUGGAGAGACAGACAGGUGAAUACAGCAACUCACAACUUAUCAGAGCAGAAACCCAUCAGCAAACACCUCUGAGGGACCCCAAGCCAGGUUAGGAAAACCUCAAAUGUCAUUGACAAAUUGCUGGAGGCUCCACAUGGACAAGUUAAAAACUCCAGAAGGACCUGGUCAUGGAGGGGUUGCACGGGACACGCUUCUGUGAGUUUUACCUUCAGGAGCUCAACCAGGUUCUCACAGUGAAUAUCAGAGAAAAAUCUCCUAGGGCUUCUGGCAGGGGAAAGGAAAAGGAACCAUUUUGAAAUCUUUCUGAGUAUUCUGUUAUUAAUAAGGCCUCACAAGAAACUAUUUCAUCAGAGCCUAAACCAUUGGAGUUUUAUCAGAGCCAACCUGGGAAAAGGAACAUGCCCAAUUCCAGCCCACCUUAGCUUUUCACACGAGAGAAAGGAAAUACCCAGCUUUAGCCACCUCUAGCCUUCAACAUGGAAACAGGGAAUACCCGAUGCCAGUCCACUCUGCCCACGCUGUCUCACCUGAUGGGCAGGUACAAAACUGAGAAGCACUGGUGAAGUUCACAGUCCAGGGGCACGAGCUCACUAAAAGACUGAGAGCUAAUUCUAGGACUAUAGAAGGCACCCCCAUAUCUUAUCACCACAUUACUAAAGGCCUGGUAACCUCAGUGUCUGGCUAUUACAUGCACAUGAAAAAUUUAUAAAGCAAACUAAAAGGCAAAAAAACAAUUGAAAGAGACAGCAAACAUCGUAAGAAGACUCAGAUGUAGCAGAGAUGCUGGGGUACUAUCAGACCAGGAAUUUAAAACGAUUAUUACUAACGCACUGAGGGCUCUAUCUAAUGGAUGAAGUAGACAGCACACAAGAACAGAAGGGUGAUGUAAGCAGAGAGGUGGAAACUCUAAGAAAACAUUUUUUUAAUGCCAGAGAUCGAUAACACAGUUACAGAAAUGAAGAAUGUCUUUGCUGGGCUCAUUAGUAGACUGGACACAGCUGAGGAAAGAAUCUUUGAGCUUGAGGAUAUGUCAGUAGAAAUUUUCAAAAUGAAAAAGCAAGGGAAAAGAAAUCUACCCAAAACAGAACGGAAUAUCCAAGAACCAUGGGGCAGCUAAGAAAGGUGUAACCUACAUGUAAUGGGAAUACCAGAAGAAGAAAGAGUGAAAGAAGUGUUUGAAGCAAUAUUUGCUGAGAAUUUCCCCCAAAUUAAUGUUACAAAAAACAAAACUACACAUCCAGGGAGCUCAGAGAACACCCAGCAGGGUAAAUUAAAAAAAAAUAAAAAAAAAAUAUAUAUAAGCACAUCAUAGUCCAACUGCAAAAAAUCAAAGAUGCAGAAAAAUAUUAAAAGAAGCCGGGGUGAGUGGGGAACACCUUAGCUACAGAGGAGCGAAGAUAACAGUUACAUCAGACUUCCCAGAAGCCAAUCUGAAGAGACCAUAUACCGUAUGAUCCCAGCUCUAUGACAUUCUGGGCAAGGCAAGUUAUGCAGACAGUAAAACGAUCAGUGGUUACUAAGGAUUACAGGGAAGCACAUGCAGGGCACAGGGGAUUUUAGGGCAGCAAAACUACUCUGUGUGACUCUACAGUAGUGGAUCCAUGUCAUUACGCAUUUGUUCAAACCCACAGAAUGCACAACACCAAGAGGGCCCCCUCAUUUAGUUUAUGGACCUGGGUGACAGCAAACGGUCCAUGUAGUUUCAGCAAUUAUGACAUAUGUCCCAUUCUGGUGCAGGAUGUUGAUAGUUGGGGAGGCUGUGCCUCUGUCAGGGCGUAAGUAUAUGAGAAACCUCUGUACUCUCUGCUCAAUGUUGCUGUGAACCUAAAACUGCCCUAAAAAUUAAAAUCUAUUCAAAAAUACAUGUUCUAGGCCAGAUGCAGUGGCUCACGCCUGUAAUCCCAGCACUUUGGGAGGCCAAGGUGAGCGGAUCACUUGAGGUCAGGAGUUUGAGACCAGCCUGGCCAACAUGGUUAAACCCCGUCUCUACUAAAAAUACAAAAAUUAGCUGGGCGUGGUGGUGUGUGCCUGUAGUCCCAGCUACUCGGGAGGCUGAGGGAAAAGAAUUGCUUGAACCUAGGAGGCGGAGGUUGCAGUGAGCCGAGAUUGGGCCACUGCACUCCAGUCUGGCAACAGAGGGAGACUCCAUCUCAAACAAAACAAAACAAAACAAAAACAUGUUCUAAAGACCACAAUGAAAUACCAUACCACUACAAUUCCACUAGAAUGACCAAAAUGAAAUCAAUGUUAGAGAGUCUGUGGAAUAAUUACAUACUCCUAUACCGCUGUUGAGUGUUUAGUACAAUACUUAGAAAACUGUUCAGUAAUUUCUUAAGAUGCUAAGCAUACAUCUACCCUAUGACCCAGCAAAUAUACUUCCAUGUAUUUAUCCAAGAGAAAUGAAAAUAUGUGCUCACACAAAGCCUUUUAUAAGAAUGUUCACAGCAGCUUGAUUCACAAUAAUCCAAUGUUUGAAAACUUUCCAAAGUCCACCAACAAGUGCAUAAACUGUGAUAAAUUCACACAAUGGAAAUCACUUCAGCCAUGACAAGGAAUGAACUACUUAUCAUACAACAUGAAUUCUCAAAGUGCACUCAGCGAAUGAAGCCAGACACAAAAAAGUGUAUGCAAUGUGAUUCCAUUUAUAUGAAGUUACAGUGUACGCCAAAUGGUGGAGGGAUAGAUUGGGAAGGUGUGGAAGGACAUAUUCUGGGAUAUAUGUAAAUGUCCUGUCUUGCUAUGCAUGUGCCAAAAUUGAGUAGACGGUACACUUGACUUGUGUGUAAAUUAGGCCUCAAUUUCAAAGGGCAUGUUCUCUGGUAAUUACCUCUUUCCACUAGAGUCCAGGGCACAAGGAAUAUGAAAGCAGGGUUUUGAUGCAAACAGACAGGCUUUAGGGCAAUAAUCUUAAGAAUACUGAGCUCACAACACAGCUCAACACUCAGAGCAAAGGGAGGGUAGCCUGUGUCCUGCCUGUGUAGCCACCUCUUCUCCUGCUAUACCUGACUCUUCCCAGACCCCACCAGAGCUGUAGCAAAGACCAGGGAGUGGCCAGGCAUGGUGGGUCACGCCUAUAAUCCCAGCAGGAGUAAAGCUUGAGUCUAGGAGUUUAAGACCAGCCUAGACAACACAGCAAGACCCCAUCUCUAAAAAUCAUUUUUUUAAUUAGCUGGGUGUGGUGGCGUGCACCUAUAGUCCCAGCUACUUGGGAGGCUGAGGCAGGAGGAUUGCUUGAGCCUAGGAUUUUGGAGGCUGCAGUGAGCUAUGAUGGCACCACUGUACUGUACUCCAGCCUGGGUGACAGAGUGAGACUCUGUCUCAAAAAAGAAAUAAAUUAAAAAAAAAAAGAACUGUUGAAGGCAAAGUUUUUCCACAAUAUUUUGCCAUUGUAGACAGUGAAGCAUGCUUCUCCAGUCUUACUCUGAGGCUCUGAGUUCAUCAGAAUGAUUGAAAGUUCUGCUUUCAAAAUCAAUGGGAAAAGUGUCAUCUUUGAUGACAUAAGACAAUGAUGUAGAGGGAAUAUGGAAUUAUCCAUCUUCUCACUGCUGGGGGAAGCCGCAUGCACCACAGAAGUGGCAUGAGGCUUUCAUGAUAGCUGCUCACCUCCUAAAGCUCAUCCAAGUGACAUGCUGCUUGACAGCCUGUUGCAUAUUCAAGCCAGAGGUUGCAACCAAUGGGGGUUUGCUGAUAUGAAUGGCUUGGCUUGCUGAGUUGCCAACACUGAAAAAUUAGAGUUUUAUGUGAAAGUCUGGGUUUCCAUCUUCUCUAGAAAAAUCAGAGCAAAUCAGAUAAAUGUGGAAUCAUUAUGAAUAUGAAUAACACUGCUCCAGAAUCCCAUGAUGGUGAGACCCACCAGCAUUCUGUGGGGGCUGGUCUCCUGGACAGGGCUGUGCCACCUCCACUUGCCCGCGGUGAUCACUUGGCCCAUUUCCCCCCCCUUGUGAAUUGUUGAACUCAAAGUUUAAGGUUUCCCUUAAUUAUAGUCAUUUGACCUUCCUCACUUCCAAGAGCUCAGGAGAAACUUUCCCAUCGGCGAUAAAGCAACAUUUUAUAUAAAUUGCAAAAAUUAAACCACAGAGCCAAUUACUGCCUGAGCUGCUCACACAGUGUUUCAGGGGACGUUGAAGAAAGGGUUCUGACCUUGAGAAAUCUUCUCAGCUCUGGUUCUCAAUUUUCUGACCUAUAAGAUAAGAAAAUGAACUCAACCAUCUCCAGUGGCUCAUUCCUCUAUGAUAAAAUAUCUAACCCUAAUUGUCUUGGCAAAGACAGCCCCUUGGCAUCAGGGAGGCUGUUGUACAAGGUCUGACCCACUUCUCAUUCAAUUUAUUCAGAAAAGCAUGUGUUCGUAAAACCUUCCUUCAUGGCCAAGCUGGCGUGUAAACGGCUGCUCAUCGCAGCCAGCACUUAAGAAUACUGAGCUCUUGAUAUGGUUCAAAAUGAAGAGAGACAGGCAGCCUGUGCUCUGCCUGAGUAUCUCCUCCUGGGGCACCACAGUCUGUCCCCAGCCCCACCAAGGCAGCAAUGGGGACCCUUGACAUCAAGGGUAGAUUUAAACAUCAAAGUCCCGUUGAACCCAGGCAUGAAAUUUCCCCAGAUGUGUUCACAUUCAGGUUACAAAUGAAGUGGAAAAGGCUUAAGACACAUGCAAAAACCUCUUGACAAAAACAUCAGGGAAAUAUUUGUGGAUGAAUUCGAGGAGGUUUCAGAAGGUCGAUUCUUCCCUCAAAUACGAUAAUCUAGCAAUAAUCUCACCAAGCAAUCUGCAUGCUUGAAGAUGGUCACAUUUGUUGUUAAGUUUAUGUCAAUUUAAGGUCAAAUAUAUGUGACUGUAAAUAUAUGACCUUAUGUAAGGAAAGUAUCUACACACAUACGUAAUAAAUAUGCAACUAACAUUUAAUUAACUGAUUCUGUGCACUAAGUAAUUUCCAAAGGUAUACUAUACUAUCAUCUUUGAUUUUUUUUUCUUUUCUUUUCUUUUUUUUUGAGACGGUUUUACUCUUGUCAUCCAGGCUGGAGUGCAAUGGCACAAUCUCGGCCUACUGCAACCUCUGCCUCCUGGGUUCAAGCGAUUCUCCUGCAUCAGACUCCUGAGUAGCCGGGAUUAAAGGUGCCCACCACCAUGCCCAGCUAAUUUUUGUAUUUUUAGUAGAGACGGGGUUUCACCAUGUUGGCCAGGCUAGUCUCGAACUCCUGACCUCAGGUGAUCUGCCCACCUCGGCCUCCUAAAAUCCUGGGAUUACAGGCAUGAGCCACCGUGCCUGGCCCACCUUUGAUUCUUUAAAGUUCCACUUUACACAUCAGGAAAACUGAGGCUCGGGAAGGUGAAACAACCCGUCCAAGACCACACAGCUAGGAUGGGCAGAAACCUAGCAGUGCUGGACUUUUCACUCGGCUAGCUGGGCACCAAUGCUUUGAGUCUAAUGCUUAUGCUUUGGGUUAUGACAUCAUCCUUCCUCUCAUGCUGCAUGGAAAUUAAGAGUUCCCUGAACCUUGUUAAAUCAACAGAUAACCUUUCUGUCCACACGGUGAGGAUGGCAGCAUUCACAACCUCCUUUUAUUUGACCAGAGGUGUUCAGACACAUGCAUGUCCUUGAUAAGAGUCAGAUACAAUUAGAGAGAGUGCGAAGGAACUGGAAGGAGCUGUGGAUUGAGAGCACUGUGUAAUCUCGACCUCCCGUGCCUUCGGGGCUAAUAUGUCAAGGUUUCCACGGACCCCCUGGACACUUAAGGACUUGUGUGCAUGCAUGGAGUACUCUUCCUCUGUCUUUUGGAAAGCCAUGGAUAAAAUAAUGACAAGAGACAAUGCUGGCCACCUACUGUGCAUGAGGUUGUGCUCUCUCAGCCACCCUACAAGGCUGGAACUUGCCCCUACUUGACCUGGGCUGCAAAUGAGAAAUUUACAGCCAGGAGCUCUCAGGGUCUGAGGGAGAGCCCCGAUCCCAGGGCAGGACCCAGAGGUCUGAUUUGUCUGCUCUGACCUGAUAGGUUCUCCUCACUCUCUGAAAGAAAGCCUGCGAGAGCAAACUGGCCUUUGCACCCCAUCUGUCUGGAAUGCCCUCUUUCCCAGGAGCCUCACCUCUCCCUGCCUGUACAACUCCUAAGGCUCCAGGGACCAGCUCUAACUUCCUCUCCUUGGUGCUGCAGCCUCUGCUGCUCUAGCAGAGGGAGGAGGGUCCUUGCUCUGAGCCCCUGCUACUCCUUUGAGGUGCCUUAGGCCCAGCAACAAUGGGCUGUCCAUUGCUGGCUGGUUUAUCCCCAUGUGUGACAGUCCAUUUGCAUUGCUGUAAAGGAACACCUGCGAUUGGGUGAUAUAUAAAGAAACGAGGUUUAUUUAGCUCACAGUUCUGCAGCCGUGCAAGCAGCAUGGUGCUGGCAUCUGCUCCUGGUGAGGCCUCAGGAAACUUACAAUCACGGUGGAAGGAGGAGAGGGAGCAGGCGAGUGUCACAUGGAGAGAAAGGAAGCAAGAGAGAGAACCUUUAGACAACCAGCUCUUGUGUGAACUCAUUACCUCAGAGAGCACACCAAGCCAUUCAUGAGGGAUCCGCCCCCAUGACCCAAUCAGCUCCCACCAGGCCCCACCUCCAACACUGGGAAUCACAUUUCAACAGAGAUUUGGAGGGGACACACACCCAAACCAUCUAAGCGCUGGAGGCUGGAGCUCCGUGGCAAGCUUGUGCCUGGACUGCAGCGCUAACCACUAGCACCGACAGGCCUGUCCUCAGCUUCUCUCUGGCAGCAGCUGGCCUGUGGCCUCCUCUGCCUCUCCCUGCAACCAGCUAAUGACCCCUUCCCUCUAGAGGCUUCAGGGUCCUUCAAUCUGUGCCCUUCUCCCCCAAAGCCCCUCGCCUGAGCUCACAGCAGGCUGUCACAUAUGCUGGCCUUGUUCAGGCCCUAGAAAUGGCUUUUGGAUCAGUGUUUCUUUCCUGCACCUUCUUCAAGAGAGCUGAGGCUCAGCAGGGCCCAGGCCUGGCCACAGGGAUUGUCAAUGAUUCUUCAGAGGCUAUUGACAAGGCCCCACCUGGCAAGCUGGCAUCCGAGGACCCAGGCAGGACCUGAGCCCUGCUGCCUCAGCAGCCAGCUUCCUGUAGGCCCCUGAACACACUUUCCAAACUGAGGACUGAUUCUCAUCAUGGCCAUACUCCUGUCUCCCAGCUCCUGCUCCCACAGAGCUUCCUGCUCUAGAACCAAGCUUUCUUAGAGUCUCCCCGCCCUGCCUCGACCCAGGCUGGCCUUUGCAGUGGAGGCAGCCCCACCCAGAGCCAGAGCUUCACCACCUCUGCCAACUGCAAGCAGCCCCCGCCUUGUGCUGGCAGGUAUGGCGAAAAUGGGAGAGACUGAGUUCCAGUUGGGAGGAGAGAGAGACAGGAGAUGAGGAGAACAUGAGCUCAGUAAUUCAGCUUGAGUACCUAACACAGACAUGGGGUGAGGGGGCUCCGUAGGACCAUGGGAGCGUUCUGCACUGACCUGCAUAGGAUAGGGCUUGAAUAAAGUUUUACUCGAAUCACUUUUCCCACCAUUGAACAUGGACUGUAUAUUCAGCUCUGCAAUUUGCACUUCCAUUUAGUAUUUUUAAAAAAGGUUUCCAUGUCAAUCCACACUGACCCAUAAUAGAGCUGCUUCGAGCAUCAUCAGAUUGGGAGCUGCAGAGGGGCGGGGGACGGAGCUGCCCCUCGUGCUCCUUCCUCCUUUCCCCCACCACACACUCAGACACAUACACAGAGAGACAUACACAGACACGCACACACACACAAACACAGACAUGCACAGAGACACACACAGGCACACACACACACAGACACAUAAACACAGACACACACAGACACACACACAGAGACACACAUAAACACACAGACACACACACAAACAUACACAUACACACACAUACACAGAGGCAUAAAAAGAUACACACAAAGAGAAACACACACAGAUACACACAGAGAGACAUAGACAUACACAGAAACACACAGACAAGUACAGACACACACAGAAAGAUACUCACAUAGACACACAGAGGGACAUACACACAAAGACAUACAGACACACACACAAAGACACACACAUGGGCACACAUACAGUGCAGAGUUUCUUUACAGCCAGA